UCCUGUUGUAACUAGGGGUUUUGACAGGUGAGAGAAAGUAGAAGUGAUAUAUUUUUCUUUUGUCUUUGUAUAUAAUUCUUAUUCUGAUUAUGAUGAUGACACUUGCCCUUUCAAARCCUGUCCACCUCUAUUCCWUCUCCUUUUACAGACAUUCACCUACGACCUCUCUAUGCAGUUUAUGUGUUCACACCUCCUUCACAGAUAACUUUCCACCAUCUUUGCUCCGCAAUAUGCAGCCUUUUGGCCAUUUGACAUAUGAUAAUUAUUCACGUGGGGUGCUUUGAAGUAUCUAGAGUCUAUAGGAGGAAGCAGAGUGGGGGCUGUGGUGUCCACAGAUGAGUUGGCAAAUGCCCAUAUCAUCAUGUGUCAGUGUUAAAAUGGGGUUAAAACGAACAGCCAAAGACCUCGUUGUAUUAGCGAAAGGUGUAAUUUGGUACAGUCAUGGGGUGUAAUGAAUGAAUAACCUCCGUCUCCCACUUCAUUUGCAGAGGAUGCUGCUGUCUGAGUUGUGCUCUUGUUUGUGUGGAUGAUUGGUGCCGAGCUACCAUCCUUUCGGCACACAGGAAGUGGAAUUGAAUCAUGGGAGGCAGAUUAAGAGAGCGGCAAGAGCUCAUCACAUCCUGUUAAUGACAGGAGAUGACUCAAGGCGAGAUGGUGGCUUUGAAUGGGGCAAGGACUGGAUUUAAUAUCCUAUCAGAAUUARUGCUGCACAGGAAAUUUGCGUUCGUGCUGAGUGCGAGGCCGAGAGGCUYGACGGCGGAUGGUGGAAGAUGGAUGUGACCUGAAUAAGACACUCUAGAACCGGUCAGAUGAUUUUCUCAGGAGGAGACGGAUGGAUAAUGAGGCGAAGGCACAGGAUUACAGCUCCAUCAUUUUCUGUUUAUGAAAGCUUUAAAGCAACCGCAAAAUAAAUAGCACAGCAUCAGGAACUGCA